CCUACGGGAGACUGCAGUGAGGAAUAUUGGUCAAUGGCCGGAAGGCUGAACCAGCCAUGCCGCGUGAAGGUCAGUGCCCUAUGGGCGUUAAACUUCUUUUGUGCGGGAGCAAUAAUGGUCACGUGUGGCCAGACGAGAGUACCGUACGAAUAAGCAUCGGCUCACUCCGUGCCAGCAGCCGCGGUAAUACGGGGGAUGCAAGCGUUAUCCGGAUUUAUUGGGUUUAAAGGGUGCGUAGGCUGUGAGGUAAGUCAGCGGGGAAAUGCCCCCGCUCAACGGGGUGAAGUGUCAUUGAUACUGCCUUGCUGGAAUGCGGAUGCCGUGGGAGGAAUGUGUGGUGUAGCGGUGAAAUGCAUAGAUAUCACACAGAACACCGAUUGCGAAGGCAUCUCACGAAUCCGCGAUUGACGCUGAUGCACGAAAGCGUGGGUAUCAAACAGGAUUAGAUACCCCGGUAGUC
rnacentral:rRNA from 1 species